rnacentral:rRNA from 1 species
UGGGGGAUUUUGCACAAUGGGCGCAAGCCUGAUGCAGCGACGCCGCGUGAGGGAUGAAGGCCUUCGGGUUGUAAACCUCUUUCGCUGGGUUGAAAGGCCAUGCUUUGGGUGUGGUUGAUUUGAACUGGUAAAGAAGUACCGGCUAACUACGUGCCAGCAGCCGCGGUAAUACGUAGGGUACUAGCGUUGUCCGGAUUUAUUGGGCGUAAAGGGCUUGUAGGUGGUUUGUCGCGUCUGUCGUGAAAUCCUGUGGCUUAACCAUGGGCUUGCGGUGGGUACGGGCAGGCUUGAGUGCGGUAGGGGAGACUGGAAUUCCGGGUGUAGCGGUGGAAUGCGCAGAUAUCAGGAGGAACACCGGUGGCGAAGGCAGGUCUCUGGGCCGUUACUGACACUGAGGAGCGAAAGCGUGGGGAGCGAACAGG